UACGUAGGGGGCAAGCGUUGUCCGGAAUCAUUGGGCGUACAGAGCGUGUAGGCGGCUCGGUAAGUCCGCUCUGAAAGCCCGGGGCUCAACCCCGGGAGGCGGGCGGAUACUGUCGGGCUAGAGUCCGGAAGAGGCGAGUGGAAUUCCUGGUGUAGCGGUGAAAUGCGCAGAUAUCAGGAGGAACACCAAUGGCGAAGGCAGCUCGCUGGGACGGUACUGACGCUGAGACGCGAAAGCGUGGGGAGCAAACAGG
rnacentral:rRNA from 1 species